GUGGGGAAUAUUGGACAAUGGGGGGAACCCUGAUCCAGCCAUGCCGCGUGUGUGAAGAAGGCCUUUUGGUUGUAAAGCACUUUAAGCGAGGAGGAGGCUACCGAGAUAAAUACUCUUGGAUAGUGGACGUUACUCGCAGAAUAAGCAACGGCUAACUCUGUGCCAGCAGCCGCGGUAAUACAGAGGGUGCAAGCGUUAAUCGGAUUUACUGGGCGUAAAGCGCGCGUAGGUGGCCAAUUAAGUCAAAUGUGAAAUCCCCGAGGUUAACUUGGGAAUUGCAUUCGAGACUGGUUGACUAGAGUAUGGGAGAGAAUGGUAGAAUUCCAGGUGUAGCGGUGAAAUGCGUAGAGAUCUGGAGGAAUACCGAUGGCGAAGGCAGCCAUCUGGCCUAAUACUGACACUGAGGUGCGAAAGCAUGGAGAGCAAACAGGAUUAGAAACCCGUGUAGUCC
rnacentral:rRNA from 1 species